rnacentral:rRNA from 1 species
GCUUGUCUCAAAGAUUAAGCCAUGCAUGUCUAAGUAUAAGCACUUUAUACUGUGAAACUGCGAAUGGCUCAUUAAAUCAGUUAUAGUUUAUUUGAUACUACCUUACUACUUGGAUAACCGUGGUAAUUCUAGUGCUAAUACAUGCAACGAUCCCCGACUUUUGAAGGGGAGUAUUUAUUAGAUAAAAAACCAAUGCGGGGCAACCCGGUUUUGUGGUGAAUCAUAGUAACUUUUCGGAUCGCAUAGCUUCACGCUGGCGAUAGUUCAUUCAAAUUUCUGCCCUAUCAGCUUUCGACGGUAGUGUAGUGGACUACCGUGGCGUUAACGGGUGACGGAGAAUUAGGGUUCGAUUCCGGAGAGGGAGCCUGAGAAACGGCUACCACAUCCAAGGAAGGCAGCAGG